CAAUAGCGUAUAUUAAAGCUGUUGCGGUUAAAAAGCUCGUAGUUGGAUUUCUGUCAAGGACAACUGGUCCGCCCCUCGGGUGAGCACAUAGUUUGGUCUUGGCAUCUUGUUGGAAACUGUUGCUGCACUUGGUUGGGUGGCGCAGUGUCCAGCACUUUCACUUUGAGGAAAUUGGAGUGUUUCAAGCAGGCACAUGCCUUUGGACACAGUAGCAUGGAAUAAUUAGAUUGGGCUUUUGCUCCAACUUGUCGGUUUCUGGAGCUGAGGUGAGAAUUAAUGGGGAUUGUUGGGGGCAUCCGAAUUUAGCCGUCAGAGGUGAAAUUCUUGGAUCUGCUAAAGACGGACAACUGCGAAAGCGUUUGCCCAGGAUGUUUUCAUUGA
rnacentral:rRNA from 1 species